rnacentral:rRNA from 1 species
UACGAAGGGGGCUAGCGUUGUGCGGAAUCACUGGGCGUAAAGCGCACGUAGGCGGACUUUCAAGUCAGGGGUGAAAUCCCGGGGCUCAACCUCGGAAUUGCCUUUGAUACUGAAGAUCUUGAGUCCGGGAGAGGUGAGUGGAACUGCGAGUGUAGAGGUGAAAUUCGUAGAUAUUGCAAGAACACCAGUGGCGAAGGCGGCUCACUGGCCCGGUACUGACGCUGAGGCA